UUGGUGGGUUUGUUAAAAAGAAAAAACACAGGCACUUUGCCAACUCGUAAGAGGAAGUAUAAGGUGUGACGCCUGCCCGGUGCUCGAAGGUUAAGAGGAUGCGUCAGUCGCAAGAUGAAGCGUUGAAUUGAAGCCCGAGUAAACGGCGGCCGUAACUAUAACGGUCCUAAGGUAGCGAAAUUCCUUGUCGGUUAAAUACCGACCUGCAUGAAUGGCGUAACGAGAUGGGAGCUGUCUCAACCAGAGAUUCAGUGAAAUUGUAGUGGAGGUGAAAAUUCCUCCUACCCGCGGCAAGACGGGAAGACCCCGUGGACCUUUACUACAACUUAGCACUGCUAACGGGAAUAUCAUGCGCAGGAUAGGUGGGAGGCUUUGAAGUAAGGGCUUUGGCUCUUAUGGAGA
rnacentral:rRNA from 1 species